UUUGAGAACCACUGCAUAGCCUACUGCAACCACAUAUUUGCUGCUGCUAUCACUACAACAUCUGUAUGGCUGCUGCAAUUCUUCUUCUUUUUCUUCUUCUUCUACUACUACUACUAAAAGAAGAUGUAGUUCUUCCCCUGAGCAAGGCAGUUAACCCACUGUUCCCCGGCCGCUGAGACGUGGAUGUCGAUUAUGGCAGCCCCCCACCUCUCUGAUUCAGAGGGGUUGGGUUAAAUGCGGAACAGACAUUUCAGUUGAAUGCAUUCAGUUGUACAACUGACUAGAUACAGGUAUGGGUGUGAUAUCAAGACUAUCAAACUAUCAUUGGUCUUCCAUCUUUCAAGGGCCCAACUCCUCAAAUCGAGCUGCAUCUUGGCAGAGAUGGCUUUACCUCUUACUUCUUCUAUCCCACCGCAUCACUAGAAGAGGGACCUGCUGGGAAACAAUCAACACAUUUCUCUCAGAUCUGAGUGAUUCUGGACAAAUCAAUACUCCAUGCUGGUCUACUGUGAACACGAGAGGCUUUGGCCCUGCAGGUAUCAGAGAAGGAACAUUUGUUGUCACCUUGCCUUAAAAGCACCUCAUAAGUACACAUUUCCCUUUUAUAUUUCU